ACGAACGCUUGCGGCGUGCUUAACCCAUGCAAGUCGAACGGAAAGGCCCUGCUUUUGUGGGGUGCUCGAGUGGCGAACGGGUGAGUAACACGUGAGUAACCUGCCCUUGACUUUGGGAUAACUUCAGGAAACUGGGGCUAAUACCGGAUAGGAGCUCCUGCUGCAUGGUGGGGGUUGGAAAGUUUCGGCGGUUGGGGAUGGACUCGCGGCUUAUCAGCUUGUUGGUGGGGUAGUGGCUUACCAAGGCUUUGACGGGUAGCCGGCCUGAGAGGGUGACCGGCCACAUUGGGACUGAGAUACGGCCCAGACUCCUACGGGAGGCAGCAGUGGGGAAUAUUGCACAAUGGGCGGAAGCCUGAUGCAGCAACGCCGCGUGCGGGAUGACGGCCUUCGGGUUGUAAACCGCUUUCGCCUGUGACGAAGCGUGAGUGACGGUAAUGGGUAAAGAAGCACCGGCUAACUACGUG
rnacentral:rRNA from 1 species